CUUGAACUUUUUUAAAUUUUUUUUUCAACUUGCCAGGUCCAAUACGAUGCCGUUUCUGAUUGUACGUCUGUUUCUCCUCAUCUCUCAUGAGAUGAACAUGAUUUCUUUGGCGUGUGUGCUCUCCCUUUCUACCUGCUCCGCCGAACCAUCCAUCACCUCCUGAUUUCUUGAAUUCUCUUCCACAGCCGUCCUUUUCUCUCCAUCAAUCUGAAACCCUAGCACUGAUUCAGUGUUUUCGUUCCUCUUUCCACAACCCUCAGCGUGCUCCCACAGAUUCUCCGGUGAUGGCCAUCACAUCUCCCUGCGUGGAUAUAUGUACUCUGGAGCUCUAUUUUUUUAAAUCAAUGGUUCUGCUGGAGCAACUAAUAAAAUUAUGCAGGAGGGGCAAUGGUAAUUUUGCAGCUAAUUCAAUGUAUUUUGCUGGGAUUUUUGCUGAUAUGGACAGUAGGAUAUGGUGAGGGAUGACAAAUUUGAUUCUUAAGGGGGGACAUUUUUUAUGCUGAAGUGAGUGACUCAGUAUAUCAAGAACAGUGGCUUUCUCUUUGUUGGUAAGGUGAUAGAUCAGCAUAGCAAGGUGACUUGGUUAUUGGACAGCAAGGCUUGAGGUCGCUUCUUUUUUAUUCAGGAUUGAUGAUCUUGGUGGUUUUGAUGCUCUAUCAUGAGGACAAAUGUUGCUGUUUUACAAGGAGCUCUAAUGCUCUUUUAAUUCUUCCUGAUUGCAUAAAACUGUACAUUAUUCCUUUCCUUGUCUGUAGCUUUAGCUUUAUAGCUUUUCUCCCUUUUUGUUGUGAGCUUGGCUGGUAUGUUUAACCAUCUAUUGCUCUGAUCUCUUUCUAAUUUGGUCUUGGACUGUUUCUCUAUUAUAUAAAUAUAUUUGGUUCUUAAAAAAAAGAGUAGUUUCUUUUCAAUUUUUAGUGUCAAAAUUUGGUAACACGGAUCUUCAUACUUGAGUUUUCUUCCCCUCUUUACAAAAGGAAGCACAUAAGCAUCUACAAACAUUGGAUAUCCAAUUAAUUUAGUAACUAAAUACUUAGUGAACUACACAUCAGUGACAAAAUCUCUUAGAUGUAAAGCAUAAGAGAGAGGGAGAAAGAGAAACUGAACAGAAAGUGUGAUUUCAUUAACUGAACUAAUAGAAUGAACAGAUCACUGUAUUUAUACAGUGUAGAACCCUAAUAGAUUCACUAGAUGUUGAUAAAUAUACAUAAUUAACUAUAAUAGACUAACAGAAUAUAGGAGAGUGUGAUCAAGUGCAUCACACUCUAUACUAUGCAUAAUUUUAUCUUGAUUAGAAAGAGAUUCACUAAGUGAUUGUAUCCUGAUUAGAAUAAAGCUUCUCUUUCAAAUGCAUAAUUUUCCAUCAUCAUUAUGAAAUGCAUGUUAUUUCUGAGGUCGAAAAUGUCUUCUUAACUUCUUAUCUUUGCAUUGACUAGGCUCAAACAUUAUGGAGUUCUAUGGAGGCAGACAAGUUAUGAAGUUUGGGUAGUUUUAAAUCACUUAGUGAAUCUCUUUCUCUCUUGCUCAUGUAUGUUUUUCUCAUAUUUUCAGUAAGGGAAAUUUCCUACAUGCUGAAUCCAAUUUUGUUUUUGUUACUCACCACGCAUAUGUGCUUUUAUAAUGGCCAAAGACUCAAAAUGAUAAAUAGCAGUGCCUCACCUACAAAUUACUUUAGUAUGAGCUAAACUGACAGGCUAACAUAUUCUUGAAGACUAAAAUUUUUACUGCUCAUUAUUUGAAAUUUGGUGGAAAUUUCUCAGCUUCUGACAGAGUGGAAUUAGCUGAAUGUGAUCUAAAAUGCUUAGAAUUGAUAUCUACAUUGUCAAAGCAAUAACAAGCCACUCAUUAAGGGGCCUUAAAUGGAGCAUUGAGAGGCAGCACCCCUGAUGCCUGGCUUGGGAUGGUUCUAUUUUUGGGAUAACCAUGGAAGAACCUUUUGCAUAACUUGGAAGUUAAGUGAAUCACUGAUGAUCAGUUGAAAGUUUUCACUGAAUCCAUGUUACUUACUCAUUAGUCAUACUCUAACUUGAUUACAAUUAUUGUGUAGUUUCUUUACAUUUAUUUUAGUAUUCAAGAUAUGUUUUGCAAAAAAAACAAGCAGUUGCUGACUCACCCGUGCAUGAUGCUAAUCUUCUGAGCUAUGCUAAUGGCACAUGUAGAGGACUGGCACUAGAAGCAAGAAUUCCAACUUAAAAAGUGUGUCGGAGUGGUGGAAGCUUCAGCUCUUGAUAGAGUUGUAGUAUGUCCAUCUCUUUGGUGGUGGAGUCUCAUUCUACCAUUACAUUGUAGCUUCUCAUUAUAUUUACUUGGAUUUCAGUUCUUAUUAUCCUAUAAAAUUAGUAUGUAUUGUAAUUGCUGCUACUUUAAGUAAAUAAGUUUUGUUUCAAAGUAGCAAAGUAAAUUAAAUAAAUUUGGUUUUAAAGCCAAAGAUAGUAGUUCUUUUUUCAUAUUUCAGAAUCAUGUGU